AGUGAACGCUGGCGGUAGGCCUAACACAUGCAAGUCGAACGGCAGCACAGUAAGAGCUUGCUCUUACGGGUGGCGAGUGGCGGACGGGUGAGGAAUACAUCGGAAUCUACUUUUUCGUGGGGGAUAACGUAGGGAAACUUACGCUAAUACCGCAUACGACCUACGGGUGAAAGCAGGGGAUCUUCGGACCUUGCGCGAUUGAAUGAGCCGAUGUCGGAUUAGCUAGUUGGCGGGGUAAAGGCCCACCAAGGCGACGAUCCGUAGCUGGUCUGAGAGGAUGAUCAGCCACACUGGAACUGAGACACGGUCCAGACUCCUACGGGAGGCAGCAGUGGGGAAUAUUAGACAAUGGGCGCAAGCCUGAUCCAGCCAUACCGCGUGGGUGAAGAAGGCCUUCGGGUUGUAAAGCCCUUUUGUUAGGAAAGAAAAGCAGCAGGUUAAUACCCCGCUGUUCUGACGGUACCCAAAGAAUAAGCACCGGCUAACUUCGUG
rnacentral:rRNA from 1 species